rnacentral:rRNA from 1 species
UACGUAGGGUGCGAGCGUUGUCCGGAAUUACUGGGCGUAAAGAGCUCGUAGGUGGUUUGUCGCGUUGUUCGUGAAAACUCACAGCUCAACUGUGGGCGUGCGGGCGAUACGGGCAGACUGGAGUACUGCAGGGGAGACUGGAAUUCCUGGUGUAGCGGUGGAAUGCGUAGAUAUUGGGAGGAACACCAGUGGCGAAGGCGGCUUUCUGGGCCUUAC